AUCCAGCUAACCAUUUCCAACUAGGACGAAACGCGCGUCCUGGAU
rfam:Schistosoma mansoni strain Puerto Rico chromosome W, complete genome